UCAGACAGUAUUUGUCUUCCUUUGUCUGGUCAGCAGAAUAACAGCUCCAAAGAUGUCCCUGUCCUGCACCUGGGAACUGAGGACGUGUCAUCUCGCACAGCAGAGGGGACUCUGCAGGUGGGGUUAAGUUCCCCGGGAUGGGGGUGACCCUGGAUCCUGAGGGACCCCGUGCCAUCACAGGGUCCUCAUCAGAAGGAGACGGGAGAUGCUGCGCUGCUGGCGGUGAGGAUGGAGGGAGGGGCCGCGAGCCAGGGAUGCGGCGCCUCUAAAAGCUGGAAGAGGCAGGAGCCGAUUCUCCCUGGAGCCUCCGGAGGGACCAGCCCCGCCCAGGCCUGGGUUUAGCCCUGUGAGACCCGAGUCGGACUCCGGACCUCCAGGACCGUCAGAGAGCAAAUCUGCCUGCACCUGCUUGUGGUGACUUGUUCCAUCCGCCCCAGGAGACGCACAUCCUCAGAGCAGUGCGACCAGGGGACAGGCCCAUCGGCACCAGGGAGAGGACGUGGUAGGAGAUUGUGGAGGACCUGCCCCCCCUCGACCUCACCUACCCCCUUGCCCUGGGUGCCCUGGGGCUCGCAGAGCCCUGCCCCACCUCACCUAUUGCAAGCCAAGCUGCCUCCUGAGCCCAGUGCGGACUGUUUUCAAGCUGGAGCUCUUAAAAUAGCUGCAGGGCCAACUAACGACCCCUCCAACCUCCCCUGAAGCCGGGCGGGACACAGACUCAGCCACAGGGAGAAGAACGGGCCUGGUGUUACCGAAGACAUUCACUCGCUCGCUGGACAAGUGUGGAUUGAGCACCUUCUGCAGGCCACACGCUGGGAGGUGACUGGGACAGCCUGUGGUGGGGCGGGGACAGGACACAGCCGCCUGGAAGCAGUGAGCGUCACCAAGAGAAAUGACACAGACGGAGGGGAGGCUCAGCACAGCCACCCACUC